rnacentral:rRNA from 1 species
UACGAAGGGGGCUAGCGUUGCUCGGAAUGACUGGGCGUAAAGGGCGCGUAGGCGGCUUGCACCGUCAGAUGUGAAAUUCCUGGGCUUAACCUGGGGGCUGCAUUUGAUACGUGUGGGCUUGAGUGCGGAAGAGGGUCGUGGAAUUCCCAGUGUAGAGGUGAAAUGCGUAGAUAUCUGGAGGAACACCGGUGGCGAAGGCGGCGUUCUGGACUGCAACUGACACUGAUGAACGAAAGCCAGGGGAGCAAACGGG